GCGGCAACGCGGGAAACGCAGAACAGGACGGCCCAACGGGGGGAAACAUCACGGGACGAACUGACAAACGCAGGAGGGAGAACCAGGACUGUACACAGAGGGACGCUGACGAGGGAACUGGGAACAGGUGAGGAAAUUCAUAAACUCGGGUGAACUCAGACUUCGACAUUAACAUCUGUCUGGAUGAUUCAUCGCGUGGAAGAAAAGGUGCAGAUGCCGUUCUGUUCCCUGAUACCUCUCGCAGCAUCUGUUCCCAUGGUAUUGGAGAUGCAGUGGCACAAAUACACCCAUUGUGGCCCCAAAGAGCCUUGGAAGUAGGAGUUUCUGGAUCGACUCCAGCUCACUGUCAUCCGUCUAGAUUAGGUUUACUGAGCUUUUAAGAGUCAACG